rnacentral:rRNA from 1 species
GAGAGGAGCUUGCGUCCUUGAUUCAGCGGCGGACGGGUGAGUAAUGCCUAGGAAUCUGCCUGGUAGUGGGGGAUAACGUUCCGAAAGGAACGCUAAUACCGCAUACGUCCUACGGGAGAAAGCGGGGGAUCUUCGGACCUCGCGCUAUCAGAUGAGCCUAGGUCGGAUUAGCUAGUUGGUGAGGUAAAGGCUCACCAAGGCGACGAUCCGUAACUGGUCUGAGAGGAUGAUCAGUCACACUGGAACUGAGACACGGUCCAGACUCCUACGGGAGGCAGCAGUGGGGAAUAUUGGACAAUGGGCGAAAGCCUGAUCCAGCCAUGCCGCGUGUGUGAAGAAGGUCUUCGGAUUGUAAAGCACUUUAAGUUGGGAGGAAGGGUAUUCACCUAAUACGUGAGUAUUUUGACGUUACCGACAGAAUAAGCACCGGCUAACUUCGUGCCAGCAGCCGCGGUAAUACGAAGGGUGCAAGCGUUAAUCGGAAUUACUGGGCGUAAAGCGCGCGUAGGUGGUUCGUUAAGUUGGAUGUGAAAGCCCCGGGCUCAACCUGGGAACUGCAUCCAAAACUGGCGAGCUAGAGUACGGUAGAGGGUGGUGGAAUUUCCUGUGUAGCGGUGAAAUGCGUAGAUAUAGGAAGGAACACCAGUGGCGAAGGCGACCACCUGGACUGAUACUGACACUGAGGUGCGAAAGCGUGGGGAGCAAACAGGAUUAGAUACCCUGGUAGUCCACGCCGUAACGAUGUCAACUAGCCGUUGGAAUCCUUGAGAUUUUAGUGGCGCAGCUAACGCAUUAAGUUGACCGCCUGGGGA